GGGGUUGAGACAGUGAGAGACUGAAAGGAAAGAAACAGAGGAGAAGAGAGAGUGAGACGGAGAGAGGCUGAAGCCUGUGGGAGACCCUUCUCCGCAACGUGGGAAAGUGGUGGCUUACACACAAAGCGGGAUCUGGACCAAGACACCAGGCAGGAGGAUGUGGAGGAGAGCAAUAUGUGAGGUUACAAAGAAGAUGAGGCCCACUGCUGUGCCUCCACUCUCUACGUCUUAAGGCACUCAUCAGUGUGACAGAUGACAUUGACAGACAGAUGCUGGAAAACAGACCACCACCCCACCACACCCAAAGGCAUUUGUCUUUCACCCCCUGUUUGUUCUUACAUGGAUCAAAUGCUGGAAGAUGUAAGGCAGAUGUCAGACUGUCUGCUGACUUGGCUCAGUCACCCAACUGUGGGGAUGAGACUGACUUGCACUCAGUCCGUAUCCAUACACAUACAUACUUCAGUCAAGAGAUCAUCAUAA